rnacentral:rRNA from 1 species
AACGCGAAGAACCUUACCCACCUUUGACAUGUACGGAAGUUACCAGAGAUGGUUUCGUGCUCGAAAGAGAACCGUAACACAGGUGCUGCAUGGCUGUCGUCAGCUCGUGUCGUGAGAUGUUGGGUUAAGUCCCGCAACGAGCGCAACCCUUGUCAUUAGUUGCUACGAAAGGGCACUCUAAUGAGACUGCCGGUGACAAACCGGAGGAAGGUGGGGAUGACGUCAAGUCCUCAUGGCCCUUAUAGGUGGGGCUACACACGUCAUACAAUGGCUGGUACAGAGGGUUGCCAACCCGCGAGGGGGAGCUAAUCCCAUAAAACCAGUCGUAGUCCGGAUCGCAGUCUGCAACUCGACUGCGUGAAGUCGGAAUCGCUAGUAAUCGCGGAUCAGAAUGUCGCGGUGAAUACGUUCCCGGGUCUUGUACACACCG